AUCUAUGCUGAUAAACAUAAUAGGAGCAUGAAACUAACUUAGAGACUAGAGCUAAGAUUAAAAUUACAGAGAUGACAGCUCAUUGUACAGAGCAUCAAUAGGCUGAGUGGACAGGGCCCACAGACAGAAAGCAGCUCGACCAACUAUCCACCAUCAGAGAAAUGAAGAGUUUGUGAUCAAAGCAUGAAGGAGACUGGGGAUGUUUUUUUCAAGUAAGAAGGCAAAGACAGCCUCUUGAAUGAUGUGAACAGUGAUGGCUUUCUCUGAGAGUAAGACAAGAAAGCUUUGUAAAUGGCGUUGAAUUUCCUGCUCUUGGCAGGCCCUGCUCAGCACAGAAGAAAAGA
rnacentral:lncRNA from 1 species